UCCCUCUCAAGAUCGCAUCUGGAGUGUUGCCAGUACCCUACCAGUCUUGGCUACGGGAAGCAGCAUCAAGCAGAGGCUUACCCAUUCCAUUCCUAGCUUGGCCAGAGGCUAGUGAGUGGAAGGCAAUCUGCUACAAGU